rnacentral:rRNA from 1 species
CCUACGGGAGGCAGCAGUGAGGAAUAUUGGUCAAUGGCCGCAGGGCUGAACCAGCCAAGUCGCGUGAGGGCUGACGGUCCUAUGGAUUGUAAACCUCUUUUGUCAGGGAGCAAAGGGCGCCACGUGUGGCGCUUUGCGAGUACCUGAAGAAAAAGCAUCGGCUAACUCCGUGCCAGCAGCCGCGGUAAUACGGAGGAUGCGAGCGUUAUCCGGAUUUAUUGGGUUUAAAGGGUGCGCAGGCGGAAUGGCAAGUCAGCGGUAAAAUUUCGGGGCUCAACCCCGUCGUGCCGUUGAGACUGGCGUUCUUGAGGGAGCGAGAAGUAUGCGGAAUGCGUGGUGUAGCGGUGAAAUGCAUAGAUAUCACGCAGAACUCCGAUUGCGAAGGCAGCAUACCGGCGCUCAACUGACGCUCAUGCACGAAAGCGUGGGUAUCGAACAGGAUUAGAUACCCUUGUAGUC